rnacentral:rRNA from 1 species
GACGAACGCUGGCGGCGUGCUUAACACAUGCAAGUCGAACGGAAAGGCCCUGCUUUUGUGGGGUGCUCGAGUGGCGAACGGGUGAGUAACACGUGAGUAACCUGCCCUUGACUUUGGGAUAACUUCAGGAAACUGGGGCUAAUACCGGAUAGGAGCUCCUGCUGCAUGGUGGGGGUUGGAAAGUUUCGGCGGUUGGGGAUGGACUCGCGGCUUAUCAGCUUGUUGGUGGGGUAGUGGCUUACCAAGGCUUUGACGGGUAGCCGGCCUGAGAGGGUGACCGGCCACAUUGGGACUGAGAUACGGCCCAGACUCCUACGGGGGGCAGCGGUGGGGAAUAUUGCACAAGGGGCGGAAGCCGGAGGCAGCAACGCCGCGUGCGGGAGGACGGCCUUCGGGUUGUAAACCGCUUUCGCCUGUGACGAAGCGUGAGUGACGGUAAUGGGUAAAGAAGCACCGGCUAACUACGU